AUUUGAUUUUGUUUUGUUUUAGCAGUAUUUUUUCCUUCAACAAUUAAUCUUGCAUCUCCAACCGUGGAAUGAGUUACAUGUGACUCGAGACAAACAAACAGUGCAAUUGCAACAAUAUAAUUAGUCAGCGGUAUGGUCACUAUCAGCAGAUUUACACACAGCGUGCAUCGUGAAUACACCAAUCCCAGAGAAAACAUUCCAAUGGAAAAUAUUGAGAAUUUCUGCCCUUCUAUCCUGAACUACACAAUGCUGGUUUGCAUAAAUAGGCAUUAAAAAACCUAUCAACAGUAUUUUUAGUUUGCAGUUUGCUUUAACAUACAACUCUAUGGCAUGUU